rnacentral:sRNA from 1 species
CAUUUUAUCUGCCGCCUUCGUCUUUUAGUUCCAUCCCUCUGCGCAUCGGCUGCAUACCUCUUACCUAUCUGGCCCUAGCAAGCAGCCGGCCUUGGCCCAUCCAAAAAAUCAAAUAAAUAUAAAGUUUAACCUAGUUCUCUUUUUUAUUUUGAAAACAAAUAGGUGACAAAAAAGCUCGGCAUCUCAAACAGUGCCCUCAGUACAAACUACACCGGGAUCGUAAAGAAUCAGUCCGGAAAAACUUCAUACUUCCGUCUCUCCUUAACUGGGAUGCAGGUGUAUCUACUUUAGUGUAAAGCAGCAAUCGGAUUUUCCUUCGUGCGGAUUCGUGCCAGUUGUCUGCGCACACAAACGGACUAAAAACAUUUGAAUGGCUGCAUGCUGACCUCUAGACUAGACAUAAGCUUUUUGUGCGCGGUCAUACUAAAGUUAUCCUAAUAUCCAAAAAUUUUUACGCAGUUUAAUCAAAAAAAGAGACUUUGAAUAGCGCUACAUUAAUCUUAUAAAUCUCUUCCAUAGUUAUUAUCAAAAUUACAAUUGUCUACGUUUUUUCAACUUCACAUAUUUUAUGGUCCCCCGCAACUGGCACCAGCUUGUCAAUUCUCAUGCACAAACAAUUAUAGCAAUUACAGUCUGUUUUUAGCGACUAUUGCUUUGAAAUCGGCUAGAUUAUUGCCCUCCCAAAUAUAUAUAUUAUUGAGAAAUGUUUUUAAAGGAAUCCGGAAAAUUUCAACCAUAUUUAGAACUUUAGCUAAUAUAAGUUAUUCAUGAUAUGAUAUUACAACCCAGUUGUAAUAAGAGCAGUUCGAAAUGUAGAACAAGUUUUGUUUAUAUGUAUACUUAACUAUGAUCAUACUAAAAAACUACAUAGAGUAGGAAACAACUGUCGAAGGUUAUAUAUUUUCAAAAUUUGAUUGUGGCCAGUCCAAUGGUUUGGGAACAAAUUUAAGAUAUAUUUAUUACAAAAUAAGACAUUUGUUAACUAUGCGCUUUGACUUAAUUUGAGACACAUAUGUAUGUAUAUAAUUAACGUAUGCAUGUAUGCAUACUAUUCGCAUGUGAUCAUUCACACACAACUACGGUCCACUCUCUUUUCCAAGUUCAAGAUCCAGUGUGUUGGGAAAUCGACUCGGCUCGCUACGUACCUUUUUUAUUUGUCAGGAGUGCAUCCUCGGGCUAAUCCUCGCAAGGUGACGUUUUGGCUUUUCGAAUCGCAAUUUAUAGUGGAUUUCUGACCUAAAAAAUAUCUUCAACGUCAUGAGCGCUUCACGCCAUUUUCUGCAUACAAAAUCAAUUUAAAUGUGGGAUGAAAAUGAAUCGAUUUCCAGUGCACAUUUGCCUGUUCAAAAGUCAAGAAGAUAAAAAUGGGAAACUCAACAAUGGUCCGUGUGAAAAAAAAAAUUGUGACUAUAGUAUUAAACAUGUUAUGGAUAAAAGGCGUUAAAAAUUAAAAAAAAAAAA